GAACGGUAACAGGAAGCAGCUUGCUGCUUUGCUGACGAGUGGCGGACGGGUGAGUAAUGUCUGGGAAACUGCCUGAUGGAGGGGGAUAACUACUGGAAACGGUAGCUAAUACCGCAUAACGUCGCAAGACCAAAGAGGGGGACCUUCGGGCCUCUUGCCAUCGGAUGUGCCCAGAUGGGAUUAGCUAGUAGGUGGGGUAACGGCUCACCUAGGCGACGAUCCCUAGCUGGUCUGAGAGGAUGACCAGCCACACUGGAACUGAGACACGGUCCAGACUCCUACGGGAGGCAGCAGUGGGGAAUAUUGCACAAUGGGCGCAAGCCUGAUGCAGCCAUGCCGCGUGUAUGAAGAAGGCCUUCGGGUUGUAAAGUACUUUCAGCGGGGAGGAAGGUGUUGAGGUUAAUAACCUCAGCAAUUGACGUUACCCGCAGAAGAAGCACCGGCUAACUCCGUGCCAGCAGCCGCGGUAAUACGGAGGGUGCAAGCGUUAAUCGGAAUUACUGGGCGUAAAGCGCACGCAGGCGGUCUGUCAAGUCGGAUGUGAAAUCCCCGGGCUCAACCUGGGAACUGCAUUCGAAACUGGCAGGCUAGAGUCUUGUAGAGGGGGGUAGAAUUCCAGGUGUAGCGGUGAAAUGCGUAGAGAUCUGGAGGAAUACCGGUGGCGAAGGCGGCCCCCUGGACAAAGACUGAC
rnacentral:rRNA from 1 species